AGUAGGCGUGGCGAUGUUGUCGCGUCCUUGGCUCGACUGAUCCUAAUGUAAAAAAAAAUUGAAAUUACAAAGAAAAUAUGAAUAUUGAUUUUUAUAUAAAUGCUAAUUACCUCAAUCGUCUCUCGACGUAAGUCUUCCCUUAGUUCCUUUAGUAUAUUCGGCAACUGUUUCCUAAUGGCCUCUUGAACUGCCCGAUCAAAGUCUACUUUACUUUUUUGUUGUUGAAUUUCUAUAUAAUUCGUCGUUGUGUUCUGUGAAGUCGCCAUAUUAUCAGGAAUUGGUAAUGGCAUUGGAUCACUUGCUCUGGUUCCAAGAACACGACCUUUGUUUUUUCCGUUAGUAGCUUUGAC
rnacentral:lncRNA from 1 species